rnacentral:rRNA from 1 species
GCUGCGCUGCUCCUAGUACGAGAGGACCGGAGUGGACGCAUCACUGGUGUUCGGGUUGUCAUGCCAAUGGCACUGCCCGGUAGCUAAAUGCGGAAGAGAUAAGUGCUGAAAGCAUCUAAGCACGAAACUUGCCCCGAGAUGAGUUCUCCCUGAGACUUUAAGUCUCCUGAAGGAACGUUGAAGACGACGACGUUGAUAGGUCGGGUGUGUAAGCGCAGCGAUGCGUUGAGCUAACCGAUACUAAUGAACCGUGAGGCUUAACCUU